GAUGAACGCUAGCGGCAGGCUUAAUACAUGCAAGUCGUGGGGCAGCAUGAGUGUAGCAAUACAUUUGAUGGCGACCGGCAAACGGGUGCGGAACACGUACACAACCUUCCUUCAAGUGGGGAAUAGCCCAGGGAAACUUGGAUUAAUACCCCGUAAUAUUAUGGAGUGGCAUCACUUUAUAAUUAUAGCUCCGGCGCUUGAUGAUGGGUGUGCGCCUGAUAGGUAGUUGGCGGGGUAACGGCCCACCAAGCCUUCGAUCAGUAACUGGUGUGAGAGCACGACCAGUCACACGGGCACUGAGACACGGGCCCGACUCCUACGGGAGGCAGCAGUAAGGAAUAUUGGUCAAUGGACGCAAGUCUGAACCAGCCAUGCCGCGUGAAGGAUGAAGGCCCUCU
rnacentral:rRNA from 1 species